UCCACCAGCCAUAUCACCCUGCAACUCACAACUGGCAACUCUCUGCUGCUAAGCAGGUGUGAGCCUGGUCAGUACCUGGAUGGGAGACCUCCUGGGAAAAACUAAGGUUAUGGCUGGAA
rnacentral:rRNA from 1 species